AACGUGACACAUUAGGUGAUAUGAAUAAAACCGAGCAUUUGCUCAUGCUCAAGCUGAUUCGAGCAAAGUAAAGUCUCUGAGCAUUUACUCAAAACGGUAUGAAUAAAACGAUACUUUACUCAGAGUAAGUUCGAAUUUCGAACAUAGCUUUUACUCUGUCAAAAAUGUUGUUUAUGUUUUGACCUGGGAUUGACUAUCAGAGUUUUGAGAGGAAAUAGAAUGCCCGUGGUGCAAAUAUAGAUAGUUUUUUUUGCCGAUUUUUUUUCUGUUUGCUGCCCGGAGAAACUCAACCAUCAUGUUCCAAGGAACGGUAUACACAGAACACCCAAGUGAUGAUUCUGCUGCAGUGUACGUACACGCGUGGUGGUAAUUCGUCCGUCCGUAACGCCCUCAUCGGUGGACAGGCAGUUAUCGAAAAAACAGGUGCCCAUACUAUCCAGCGGAAUCGGUGCCCAAGAACAAACAUAAAUAUAUGCACCAAAGGACAACACCCAUCGGAGUCCCUGCGAGUCGAUUGCAAGCGUUGAAAAACAGUAGCUCCGUCGUCACAACCCAAACCAGCUGCAAUUGUUGAAGAAAACUCUUUUUGUUUCUAUUUGUUGAAUAGACACUCAACAGAGAGUUACCAAACUAGCGGUCAAUUCGGCUGCCAUAAAUGGGUCCGACAUACCACCACAGGCGACCGGUGAAGAAGGCACGGAACAAGGCAGCGACAUCGAAGCUAACCGCUCCAGUGUGAUGAGGGAACAUGUCGGUUGGAAUAUGCUACGGCCACUCUAGGCCGUUACUAAAUAUAUUUAAAUAAAUUGUGGUACGAACUUAAAA